UACGUAGGGGGCAAGCGUUAUCCGGAAUUAUUGGGCGUAAAGAGUACGUAGGUGGUUUCCUAAGCGAGGGGUUUAAGGCAACAGCUUAACUGUUGUUCGCCCCCCGAACUGGGUAACUUGAGUGCUGGAGGGGAAAGCGGAAUUCCUAGUGUAGCGGUGAAAUGCGUAAAUAUUAGGAGGAACACCAGUGGCGAAGGCGGCUUUCUGGACAGUAACUGACACUGAGGUACGAAAGUGAGGGGAGCAAACA
rnacentral:rRNA from 1 species